GUCUGUUUUCAUACCACCCUGAACACGCCCAAUCUCCUCUGAUCUCAGAAGCUAAGCAGGGUUGGGCCUGGUUAGUACUUGGAAGGGAGAUUUUUUUUCUUAAAAAAAUCUGGAAAAAGUUAAAA
ensembl:rRNA 5S_rRNA 5S ribosomal RNA